rnacentral:rRNA from 1 species
GAUGAACGCUGGCGGCGUGCCUAAUACAUGCAAGUCGAGCGAACGGACGAGAAGCUUGCUUCUCUGAUGUUAGCGGCGGACGGGUGAGUAACACGUGGAUAACCUACCUAUAAGACUGGGAUAACUUCGGGAAACCGGAGCUAAUACCGGAUAAUAUUUUGAACCGCAUGGUUCAAAAGUGAAAGACGGUCUUGCUGUCACUUAUAGAUGGAUCCGCGCUGCAUUAGCUAGUUGGUAAGGUAAUGGCUUACCAAGGUAACGAUGCAUAGCCGACCUGAGAGGGUGAUCGGCCCCACUGGAACUGAGACACGGUCCAGACUCCUACGGGAGGCAGCAGUAGGGAAUCUUCCGCAAUGGGCGAAAGCCUGACGGAGCAACGCCGCGUGAGUGAUGAAGGUCUUCGGAUCGUAAAACUCUGUUAUUAGGGAAGAACAUAUGUGUAAGUAACUGUGCACAUCUUGACGGUACCUAAUCAGAAAGCCACGGCUAACUACGUG